rnacentral:tRNA from 1 species
GUGGAUAUAGCUCGGUGGUAGAGCACAUGCUUAGCAUGCAUGAGGUCCUGGGUUCAAUCAGUCCCCAGUACCGCCA